rnacentral:rRNA from 1 species
CACGGAAUUAGCCGGUCCUUAUUCAUAGGGUACAUGCAAUAAACUACACGUAGCUCACUUUAUUCCCCUAUAAAAGCAGUUUACAACCCAUAGGGCCGUCAUCCUGCACGCUACUUGGUUGGUUCAGGCUCUCGCCCAUUGACCAAUAUUCCUCAUUGCUGCCUCCCGUAGGAGUUUGGACCGUGUCUCAGUUCCAAUGUGGGGGACCUUCCUCUCAGAACCCCUACUGAUCGUUGCCUUGGUGGGCCGUUACCCCGCCAACAAGCUAAUCAGACGCAUCCCCAUCCAUUACCAAUAAAUCUUUAAUCCUAUAAUGAUGCCAUCAUAAAUACCAUGGGGUAUUAGUCUUACUUUCGCAAGGUUAUCCCCCUGUAAUGGGUAGGUUGGAUACGCGUUACUCAUCCGUGCGCCGGUCGACGCCUAAGAGAGCAAGCUCUCUCAUCGUUCCCCUCGACUUGCAUGUGUUAAGCUGUAGCUAGCGUUCAUCCUGAGCCAGAUCAAACUCUACG